rnacentral:rRNA from 1 species
AGCAGCCGCGGUAAUUCCAGCUCCAAUAGCGUAUAUUAAAGUUGUUGCAGUUAAAAAGCUCGUAGUUGAAUUUCGGGAUCAAUACGUCGGUCGUGCUUAGGUACGUACUGGCGUAAUUGAUUUCUCCCUUCUGACGAACCAUGAUGUCAUUAACUUGGUGUCAUGGGAAAUCAGGACUGUUACUUUGAAAAAAUUAGAGUGUUUAAAGCAGGCUCACGCUUGAAUACAUUAGCAUGGAAUAAUGAAAUAGGACGUUUGAUUCUAUUUUGUUGGUUUCUAGGAUCGACGUAAUGAUUAAUAGGGAUAGUUGGGGGCAUUAGUAUUCAAUUGUCAGAGGUGAAAUUCUUGGAUUUAUUGAAGACUAACUACUGCGAAAGCAUUUGCCAAGGAUGUUUUCAUUAAUCAAGAACGAAAGUUAGGGAUCGAAGACGAUCAGAUACCGUCGUAGUCUUAACCAUAAACUAUGCCGACUAGGGAUCGGAUGAUGUUAAUUUUUAUGUACUNAUUCGGACG